AAGUCGUAACAAGGUUUCCGUAGGUGAACCUGCGGAAGGAUCAUUCACAAUAAGUGUUCAAUGGCACUUUAAAAUCCAUUACCCACCUUGUGUGUAAUGUAAGGAGGAGGGGUUGUCACAACCCCUCUUUCAUUAUACAUACCAAUCUUCUCUUGUUGUCUAACUUUUUGAGUAUAAAAAACUCGAAUACAACUUUCAACAACGGAUCUCUUGGCUCUC
rnacentral:misc_RNA from 1 species